rnacentral:misc_RNA from 1 species
AACGCACCUUGCGCUCCUUGGUAUUCCGAGGAGCAUGCCUGUUUGAGUGUCAUUAAAUUCUCAACCUCACCCAUUUUGUCAUGAAGUGGUUUGUGUAGGCUUGGAUAUGGGGGCUUGCAGGUCCAAUCUCUUGGUCUGCUCCUCUGAAAUGCAUUAGUGGGUUGUGCCCCCUAAUCUAUUGGUGUGAUAAUUAUCUACGCCGUGGAUCAGGAUGGGCGAUCAAUGACCUGCUGAUAACCGUCCGUCUCGGACAACAUUGACAUUUUUGACCUCAAAUCAGGUAAGACUACCCGCUGAACUUAA